rnacentral:rRNA from 1 species
GACGAACGCUGGCGGCGUGCCUAAUACAUGCAAGUCGAACGCUGACGGAGGAGCUUGCUUCUCUGGAUGAGUUGCGAACGGGUGAGUAACGCGUAGGUAACCUGCCUGGUAGCGGGGGAUAACUAUUGGAAACGAUAGCUAAUACCGCAUAAGAGUAGAUGUCGCAUGACAUUUGCUUAAAAGGUGCAAUUGCAUCUCUACCAGAUGGACCUGCGUUGUAUUAGCUAGUUCGUGAGGUAACGGCUCACCAAGGCAACGAUACAUAGCCGACCUGCGAGGGUGAGAGGCCACACUGGUACGGAGACACGACCCAGAAUCCUACGGGUGGCAGCAGUAGGGAAUCUUCGGCAAUGGACGGAAGUCUGACCGAGCAACGCCGCGUGAGAGAAGAAUGUUGUCGGAUCGUAAAGCUCAGUUAUAAGAGAAGAUCGAGUGGGAGAUUGGAAAGUUCACACUGUGACAGUACCUGACCAGAAAGGGACGGCUAACUACGUG